UCUUCACACACACCUUAGCCUUUUUUCCACGUUAAUAGUCUCAAAAAUGGCAAAUGCUCGAAUCGCUAGAUUUAUAACUGAAGUAGCACCGCCACAGUUUGUCAGCGUCAUGAGGCACCAACCAUCAAAGAUGUUAGACACAAUUCACGAAGAGGAAAAAGAAGUCCGUACAAAUGAUUCUCUAGCUCCGUCACCAAAGAAGCUAUCGACAUCCUCAUUUUGUACUGGUUCUGCUUCAUCUUCUAUAACAGCCAAGUCUAAGCAUUUUUUCCGUGACGUUCAGAAGUCUUUAUCUGUAUUUCGCUAUUAAAAUCCUAGUGUUUGUGCUUAUCCACAAUCCUACUGAACUUUCAGUCAUCUGUCUAGUCCACAAAUUUUGGUUGUGUUGUUCAAAUAUUGGAGUCUGCAUAACUUGGAUGAUCGAGGAUUCAGACAUGUGACUGCACUACAAAUCUUUCAUGUAGUGCGUGUUUGGUACAGCAGUAGUAGACAACAUGCUAUCCAAUUCUGUUACCAAACAAGGCAGAAAUGUUUUUAUGUGUGGAAGACCAUAUAUCUACUUGGAUAUGUAACCUGAUGUAGUAGUUCUUUUUUCUUCUGCUACAUAGUUGUUAGAGAUAAAGAGAUAAGUAAAAAAAAAAAAAAUGAUAACGUUUAUCACCUUUAAAAUAUUAUAUUAGAUAGCAUCUAUCAGCUUGUAAAUAUUGUCCCCGUUUUAACCCAUUAAAUUUAUAAUCUAUUUUUCUCUCUCUUUUUUUUAAGCAUAGCUUCUCCAAUAAAAUAAUAUUAUACAUAAAUAAAAAACUUUUCAUUCUUUUCCAACAACACAUUUUCCAUAAAAGCACUGCUCCAAAAAUUAUAACAUCAAAUAAUAGGGGCCAAACGGGACGUUAUAACUAUAGGUAAGAUAGAUUUUUGUAACUCAGCAGAAGUUAACAUAGAAUUAAACAGUUGUAUACCUAUACAAUAUAUGCCUAUAAAUACACCACUCAAAAGAUCAAUAGAAGUGUGGUUAUUUCUCAUUUAACUUCAUUCUUCUUUAGAUUUUACGUGGUAUCAGGACCUCAAUCCAACAAGAACUCUAUGACCAACGAGUCACCACUACUGCUCCAUCAAUGACUGGCCACACCCCUCUCGGUCACUACCACCGCCGCCGCCACCGCCACUUAAUCAUCUUCUUCUUCUACUAUUUUGUCAUUCAUCUCUAUCAAUGUCACAGCUCAAACACCCCUUAAGCUUACCACUUCAAAUUACACCUGUUGGAGAAUCCAAUUUCAUACCCUUCUUGUCGGUUAUGUUUCUGUGAGCUGUAAACCAUGUCCACUGAUAUGUGUAAUUCAUACACUUAUUAGGCCUUUAAAAUAUUGAUAUUUCAUUGUUCUUUUGAUAAAUUAUAUCCUAAUUUAGUUUAUAGUUCAUUUAUUAGGAGAAACUCGAUAAUUAGACAUGAAAUUAGAAGAAAUGAGCGAAAAACGGCAAAGUUCAAAGUUUGAGAACCAAAUUGCAAAUAUUCAAUAGUUCUUUAUAUUGAAAUACGGAAGCGGAAUUAUCCAGAACUAAAAAAAAAAAAUUCAACAAAUUAGAUCGUUUAGAUAUUCACAUGUAUGUUAUAUUAAGAAUAAAGUAUUUGAAUUUUUAUCUAAAUUCGAUAAUCAAUUCUUUAAUUAAUUCUGAAUCACGAAUUACAAACUUUUUAGAUCAUGUACUUCCAACUUUUUAAUUCCAAUAACUUGAUACAUCAAACUUCCAAAUUAUCUAGAAUAUUCUCUAAAAUCAAAACUAUACUGAUAGGUGGGCAUCCUCUUUUAAUUAAAUCAAGAAAUCAAUUCUUGAAUGGACAAUUGAAGAAGAUAAGAAAAUAAUUUUCUCUCCAUUUUUCUCCAUCCAAACUUGAACAGAGUAGAAUUAUGUAUUAUGAUUGUUGUAAGAAUUCUAGAUUUUAUCUAGUCGCUAUUUAUAGAGAUAGAAUAGUUUCAAUCCUUAUAAAAUAAUAAUUUCAUAUUUAAAUAGGAGUUUUAAUUAAAAUUCAAGCAGUAGUUUUUAUUUCUUAGGUUGCCCUUUCCUAGGCAACAAGCUACUUUUCAGAAAAAAAUUAAGUACCAAAAUUAAGUGCAAAUGAAUCAAAUCAAACAAUGCAAUGUAUGGAUUGUCCACGCCUAAUUACGUAGGAUGCAUAUAUAGCUACAAUGAAAAAUGAAAUCUUAUUCCUAAUAAGUUCAUGUUUGGUUUAAUAAAAAAAAAAAUUAUAAAAAUCUAAGUUAAAAUUAACAAUUAAUUUAAUUCAUUUCAUGAUACCCCCAAUAUUUAUUAACUUUUAAACCAUACAUUUCAUCAACUUUUACCAAAAUCUACUAAAAAAUUAUUUUUUGGCUAAACCAAAGAGCGGCUAAAUAUGAGUGUUAAGGGAUAUAAUCUCACAUCAUUUAUAAAGGUUGGCCUUUUAAGAUGAAACCUCAAAUCUUAACAAGUAUUAGAGUCCAUCAAAUUCUAACAAACAAUUCAAUUAGAUUAAGACUCAAAAAAUAAGUACACGAAUUUCAAGAUUAGUCUGCUCAAAAGAACCACUAUCUUGCUGGGCACGUUAAGAAAUAUAAUCCCACAUCAUUUGUAAAGGUUUGGACUACUCCUUUUAAUAAGGUUAACAUUUAAUAUAGAACCUCAAGUUUUAACAACGAGAUCGACUUCAUGGCUACUUCCUCGUUUUAGUAAAUUAAUUGCUAGAACCAUUGAAAUAAAAACUAUCGCACGGAAACCUUAUGCAGAUACAAACCCCAGCAUUUUCAAAGGGAAAUUCAUUUUAUUUCCUCUAACCAAUCAGACUUUUUCACAGAUAAUUAUCAACUGAAACUGAAAGAUGGGCAUUUGGAGAGGCGAUUCCCUGUCAAACUCUGGAAAGUGCAAAAUUCGUACAAAAAGCAAAAAUUUUGAAGGCAUAUGAAAAUGCAUAUGACCCCAUUAAUGAAAAUAAUUUUGGACAUAUUGUUUUCAUAAUAAAUACGAAAAGUAAAAGGCGGCACAAACAGCUUAAAGUCAUUUAUACAUUUGAUUAGGACCACUCAAUUAAUUUGAGCCCAAGCAUGACUCUAUCAUCUCAUCCAGUUGCUGGAAAUCAGGCCAAGCAUCCCUAUAAAUUUCAACCUGACCAUAUUCUUGUUCUCAAUCCCAGCAAUCACUUCACACACACCUUAGCCUUUUUUCCACGUUAAUAGUCUCAAAAAUGGCAAAUGCUUGAAUCGCUAGAUUUAUAACUGAAGUAGCACCGCCACAGUUUGUCAGCGUGAUGAGGCACCAACCAUCAAAGAUGUUAGACACAAUUCACGAAGAGGAAAAAGAAGCCCGUACAAAUGAUUCUCUAGCUCCAUCACCAAAGAAGCUAUCGACAUCCUCAUUUUGUACUGGUUCUGCUUCAUCUUCUAUAACAGCCAAGUCAAAGCAUUUUUUCCAUGACGUUCAGAAGUCUUUAUCUGUAUUUCGAUUUUAAAAUCCUAGUGUUUGAGCUUAUCCACAAUCCUACUGAACUUUCAGUCAUCUGUCUAGCCCACAAAUUUUGGUCAUGUUGUUCGAGUAUUGGAGUCUGCAUAACUUGGAUGAUCGAGGAUUCAGACAUGUGCCUGCACUACAAAUCUUUCAUGAAGUGCGUGUUUGGUACAGCAGUAGUAGACAACAUAGGAAAGUAAUUUUAGCUUCUUUUCUUCUUUAUUGCAGUCCACUGCUAUCCUAUUCUGUUACCAAACAAGGCACAAAUGUUUUUAUGUGUGGAAGACCAUAUUGUAAAUCUACUUGGAUAUGUAAACUGAUGUAGUAGUUCUUUUUCCUUCUGUUGGGAAUCUACUUAACUUGCAUUGUGGAAAAUUAAAACAAAUUUCAAUUCCGACCAGGAAUCGCCUUUGUGUUUAGAUAAAAAUUGUGAUAAAAGUGAUACUUUUUCACGAUCUGCAAACUCCUUUGUCUUAUCUUUGUUCCAGCAACUUGGAUCUGUC
rnacentral:lncRNA from 1 species